rnacentral:rRNA from 1 species
CAGCAGCCGCGGGAAUACGAAGGGGGCUAGCGUUGCUCGGAAUGACUGGGCGUAAAGGGCGCGUAGGCGGCGGCCAAAGUCAGGCGUGAAAUUCCCGGGCUCAACCUGGGGGCUGCGUUUGAUACUUGGUUGCUUGAGUGGGGAAGAGGGUCGUGGAAUUCCCAGUGUAGAGGUGAAAUUCGUAGAUAUUGGAAAGAACACCGGUGGCGAAGGUGGCGACCUGGUCUUUAACUGACGCUGAGGCGCGAAAGCGUGGGGAGCAAACAGGAUUAGAUACCCCUGUAGUCCCUGUCUCUUAUAC